rnacentral:lncRNA from 1 species
CUGGGACUGAGUGUGUGGAAAAUCAGCUGGUGCAGGGAUUUGCCGUUCUGAACAUUCACGGUGCAACUUGCUCAUGGGCAGUGGUGACAGGCCGGCUAAUGUGAGAACCUUUUCUGCACCCAGCUUCGCUGCAGAGAUGGAUUCAUGGAGCUGAAACGAUUCCAGGAGCCUCGACUAGCAGUCAACUUAGGAGCAAAGUACACAGAAUGUUCUCCAAACCCAGCCAUGUUGUGAGCUGUGUGCCCAGCCCAGGUGCUGCGGUGGGGCCUGGCAACCUGGCUUCCUUCCCCAGAGCAUCAUGAACAGCAGGCGGAGUCUGCACAAAGUCUAACGACGGAGGACGUCUCAUUCCCAGUCACUGAAGUGAGGAGGGAGCGCGCUGCCAAGUCUCAAGUACAUAUUUAAAGCACUAGGAGUUAUAAAGUAUCACGUUAUUAUUUGAAAAAUCUGUGGGAAACUUCUAAAACUACAAAGUACUAUAAUAUUAUUACAAAUUGUAUAAUUAUUAUCAGCUCACAUUAUCAUACCAUAAUCUCUGCUUACUCUAUGUGACAUGUUAUCUUAACUCUCGUUACAUAUUAUCUUACUAUUUCUAAUACUUCAC